CGGAACCGGCAAUCCCGGAAGUGGCGGAACCAAAAAUGCCGGAACCAAAAAUUCCGGAAAUGGAGGAACCCGGAACGCCGGAAAUGGCGGACCCGGAAGUGUCGGAAUUGCCGGAAGCGGAAGUGUCGGAAUCGGGAAGUUUUUGGGGGUUUUGGGGGGGGGAGAAGAAGUCCAGGUUGUCCUUGGCCAGGAAUUGGAGGGACUGGAGGAGAUCCAUGGUGGGAUUGGGGGGGGUUACUGGUUUAUACUGGUUUGUACUGGGAGGGGUUAAAAGGGGGUUUGGGGGUUACUGGUUUGUACUGGGAUGGGGUUUGGGGGUUACUGGUUUAUACUGGGAGGGACUGGGAGCGGAUUUGGAGGGAGUGGAAAGGGUUAAAAGGAGAUUUGAGGGUUACUGGGUUAUACUGGGAGGGGCUAAAAGGGGGUUUGGGGGUUACUGGUUUAUACUGGGAGGGACUGGGAGGGGUUAAAAGGAGAUUUGAGGGUUACUGGUUUAUACUGGUUUGUACUGGGAGGGGAUUGGGAUAAACUGGGAGGGACUGGGAGGGAACUGGGAGGGAGUUUGGGGUUACUGGUUUAUACUGGUUUGUACUGGGAGGGGGUUAAAAGGGGGUUGGGGGUUACUGGUUUAUACUGGGAUGGGGUUUGGGGUUACUGGGAUGGACUGGGAGGGUCCUGGAAGGUCCAAACUGGUUCAAACCGGUUCCAACUGGUCCAAACUGGUCCAAACUGGUCCUGGAAGAUUCUAAACUGGUCCAAACUGGUUCUGGGAGGGUCCUGGAAGGUCCAAACUUUUCAAACUGGUCCUGGGUGGUUCGAAACCGGUUCCAACUGGUUCAAACUGGUCUUGGGGGGGGUCCUGGAGCGGUUCCAAACUGGUCCAAACUUGUCCUGGAAGAUUCU
rnacentral:lncRNA from 1 species